GUCACAGUCGAAAAUGUUAAAGGUUUGGUAUAAUGGAAAUUUGAAUAUUUAAUUAGAAAAUUUUUUGUUUAAGUAGGUUCUACUCUGUAUAUGAGAAUCUUGCAGACUGAUAGCUAACCAAGAAGGAGGUGGCCUGAGUGAUAAAGGGAAUGCUAAGCAGGUGUAAGUAGUAUCAGCUCCAAGUAUUUUGCUGGUGAGUUCCUACACUUAAACUAGUUGAUAUCUUUUAUUGUAUUUCCUUGUUAUGUCAUUUUGCUAUGGAAUUAAACCGUGAUGUUACAAUAUGUGUAUGAGUGUUGUAAUGAUAGUUUUUACCUGGGAAAUUGUAUGAUUAUGAUGUUGAGAAAUGUGUCUAUAUUAUAGUAAAUAUGUAAUUGUUUUCUAUGUAUCUAAAUAAUGAAUAAAUGAAUUUCACAUUUCAUGUUGUGUCUGUUGUA